rnacentral:rRNA from 1 species
UACCAGCUCUCCGAGUGGUGUGGAUGUUAAUUGGGCCUAAAGCAUACGUAGCUGGCUGGGCAAGUCCCCUGUUAAAUCCACCGAUUUAAUCGUUGGUGUGCGGGGGAUACUGUUCGGCUAGGGGACGGGAGAGGCCGACGGUAUUUUCGGGGUAGGGGUGAAAUCCUAUAAUCCCGGGAAGACCACCAGUGGCGAAGGCUGUCGGCUAGAACGCGCCCGACGGUGAGGGAUGAAAGCUGGGGGAGCGAACCGGAUUAGAUACCCGGGUAGUCCCAGCUGUAAACGGUGCAGGCUAGGUGUUUGGGCGGCCACGUGCCGCUCUAGUGCCGCAGAGAAGUCGUUAAGCCUGCCGCCUGGGGAGUACGGCCGCAAGGCUGAAACUUAAAGGAAUUGGCGGGGGAGCACCACAAGGGGUGAAGCUUGCGGUUU